AGGAAGCAACAGGAUGAACUAAGCUGUGUUUUAGGAGACGCUACACUGAACUAUAUUCUGUAUGAAGAACUGAUGUCAUGGUAUUUAAGAAAGUCCCGAGAACGCGCUGGGAAGAAUCAUUCAGCCCAUUCUGCUCCCUCUGGCAAUAAAGGUGGCGGGUACUGGAGCAAGCAGACAACAUUACACAGUUUGCGUUUUAGAUCUAUAGCGUCUUUUAAUCACACUGCUUCCGAGGCACAACAUGGAGACACACUCAAAUGUGACAUCUUUGCUACGGAGCCUCAUUUUUGCUCGAUCUUCAAUUACUAGCUUUCUUAGGUCAAGUAAUGUUGACCCUUCUCCUGACUUUCCAUGCGCUGGAUGAGAAUGAAGAUUAUCAGAACAUCCUGGGUAAUGGGUAGAAGUCCUGCUUCCACCCUCUCAGCCUGGGACUUGGUUAGUGAGGUCAUAUUAGGCCAAAAGGGUCCAUCUUCAGAGGCAUUUCCAUUUUAGAUAUUUGAUGAGUAAA